UACGAAGGGUGCAAGCGUUACUCGGAAUUACUGGGCGUAAAGCGUGCGUAGGUGGUUUGUUAAGUCUGAUGUGAAAGCCCUGGGCUCAACCUGGGAAUGGCGGUGGAUACUGACAAGCUAGAGUGCGGUAGAGGAGGGUGGAAUUCCCGGUGUAGCGGUGAAAUGCGCAGAUAUCAGGAGGAACACCGGUGGCGAAGGCGGGUCCCUGGGCCGAUACUGACGCUGAGGAGCGAAAGCGUGGGGAGCAAACAGG
rnacentral:rRNA from 1 species